rnacentral:lncRNA from 1 species
UGUAUUCUUAAAAUUUAGUGCUGGUAAGGAUAAAAGAAAAUUUUGGAUGAUUCUGGAUGUUCCGUGUAAUAUACCGAAAAUUCGAAAAAUGAAUAUCGAGCUUUAGUCAAAUUGACCAAAGUGCGAGGAUGGUACACUUCGGAAAGUCCGAAGGUUUUAAAAUGACCAAAAGUUAAGGUUUUCGAGAGCUAAGGAAUCAAAAAUCUGCAAACUGCAGUUUUUG